UGACCUUGGAAAUACAGAGCAGGUGAGGCCUGUCUGACUGUUUCUGGGCAACCCAAUCUUGGUUUCCAUGGUUG
rnacentral:pre_miRNA from 1 species